AAAAAUAUUAGUCCGAUAUGUUUAUAGAAUAAAAGGAUAUAGUUAUGUGUUUUUAAUUAUUUUUGUGGGAAGUAGUGAAAUUUAUUGGCCAGACUGUAAAAAACAGUGACUGAUGAGUGCAGAAGUGUACAUAGUCACUCUCUUUAUUUCACACCUAUUUUCGAAACAUUGACUACUUACGUAACAAAGGUCCCACUUGUAACGUUUUCAAAUUUGAAUUAUUUUCUGAAAUAUGCGUCAUGAUUAAGAUAUGAAGUACGUAUUAUUUUAUAGAUAUAUACACUGUUUGAAUGCGUAUGCAGAGCCAAGUUGAGUUGUUUGAGAGAUUGUUACUGAGGUAUGUCUCAUGUAUGAGUGAAUAAACUGAAUAAUGAAGUGGAAGAAAUAGUAGUAAUUAACAAAGAAAAUAGUUCAAACCUUCGAUGGGUUUAGCGCCUAAGAGUGUGUUGAAAGCAGCGUACUUGCAGCUUUUGCAGUAAACCGUACCCCGAACGGCGACUAGACUACGGUUGAACUUAGGCGGGUAAACCGGCGGUGUAACAGGUGGCUUCGUCGGAGGAGAAACCGGAGGCUUAACCGGAGCUUUGGUAGGAGGGUAAACCGGGGGCUUAACUGGAGGUUUGGCUGGUGGGGAAACUGGUGGCUUGACCGGGGGUUUAGUUGGGGGCUUAACCGGGGCUUUGGUUGGAGGGUAAACUGGUGGCUUGACUGGGGGUUUAGUUGGGGGCUUAACCGGGGCUUUGGUUGGAGGGUAAACUGGUGGCUUGACUGGGGGUUUAGUUGGGGGCUUAACUGGAGCUUUGGUUGGAGGGUAAACUGGUGGCUUAACCGGAGGUUUGGCUGGUGGGGAAACAGGUGGCUUGACCGGGGGUUUAGUUGGGGGUUUCACCGGGGCUUUGGUGGGUGGGUAAACCGGGGGCUUAACCGGAGGUUUGGCUGGUGGAGACACUGGUGCCUUAACCGGGGGUUUAACAGGAGAUUUGGCCGGUGGGUGGGGGUGAGGGUGAGGGUGAGGGUGGUGGUGAUGAGGAGGGUGUGGGUGGUGGUGGCCGUGGUGGUAAGGAGCAGGAGCAGGAGCUAGAGAAGGGGUUUGAGUCUUAUGGUUCACUUCUUCAGUGAAGACAGAGGAAGUGAAGCACCAAAGUGCUACGAGACUCACUAAUACACUCUUACCAAUGAAACCCAUUUUUUGUUUUGUUUUUGGGUUAGUGAUAUGUUUUGAGAUUAUGAAAUGGGUGUAUAUAUAGGUGGAAGGUUCACGCUUCGAGUGUCAUGAAAUUACUCCCUUUUAUUUGUAAAUAGUAAAUCAAAAUCGAUCGACAUGAAUUACCCCAUUAUUAGUUACUAGUACCAUUUUGUGCCCAAAAAAAAAAAAAAAAAAAAAGUCACUAGUACCAUUUUGUUACUCUCUUUUUUUUGUUACUCUUUUUUUCUUCUGAUAGAUAUUCAAGAUGGAAAACUUUAGUUAUCCAACAACAUUAAAAUGGUCAUUGUUUCCUACACAUCUGAAAAAAUGUGAUAUGCAAAUUUUCUACUAUUACGACCAAACAAAAGUCACAUCCCUGGUGAACCAAUGUUAAAAAGAUCUUAACCCAAUUUUACCAAAAAAAAAAUCUUUACCCAUCUAGUAAACAUUUGUCGUCUAAAAUAUAUAAAAAAGGACUAAUAAGUGUAAGAUCUUUUUUUUUUAUGAUAAUAAAAUUAGAUUUAAUAUAAGUAAGAUUUAGAUCGCCUAUUAAUUAGUUGAUGUGUGUUUAGAUCGUCUAAGAUAUGUCAAGUUGGUGUAUUUUUAUCAAAAAAAAAAAACAAUUUGUUGAAUAAUAUAGUCACAAAAAAAAAAAAAAGAUAUAUAGUCACACACAAUAACUUUACUAUUAUCACUGGUGAUCCAUAUAAAGUGAACAUUAGUAAAUACUUUAACAAAAGUAAGAUAUUGGGAUACUAUAAAAUUUAGGAAAUUGUUUUAUAGCAUGAGUAAUAGUAAUGUUGAAUUUGAAUUGUCAUUAUAAUUUGUUUUGUGAACUUUUUGUUUUGACAUUAUAUCAAAGAAAGCAAUUUUGUUUUGAAAUCCAAGCUAACAUGCAAAAGUUUUUGAUAAUUUUUAUCUAUGUAUUUAGAAAAAUCAUAAGUGAUGGUAAUAACAGGCAUUAAUUUUUUUUAAAGGAAUUUAGUACCAUAAUUCACAUAUGAGAUAGUAAAAAACUUUGAUAUAGUAGUCAGGCAUCUGAUUCGUGAUUGUAUACUAUCGAUGUUGAUUGUAAUCCGAAGUUAUAAAUUACCAAAUCUGGUUUGCAUAAUUGAUUGAAUUUUUUUUGGAUUAUGUCAAACAAUUUUGUUUUGAAAGUAGUAUGUAUAACAUUUUGAUUGGCAUUUGUGACACAGGUUAAGCUACCAUUCUAUAAAAGUAUUUCAACAAUUGUCCUACUAAACAUGUAGUAUUCAAUUAUUUUCUAUAUACUAAGUAGAGAGUCGAAGUGACUUUGCCAUUACUUAUAUGAAGAGCAAACAAAACUUUCAUUUGAUACAUUGUGAUUAAUGGAACCACAUUUAUGUAAAUCUGAUGUGUUUUUUUCACUAUUUUCUUAUAAUAGAUCACUGAAUGAGAUCUUCGGGAGACUUUGAGCGUAAUUGCUGCAUUGAAUAGCACAUGUCGCUCAAUUGCUUUAGAACAUUUAUUUUCAUAAUACGAUUUAAUGUUUUUUUUUGCUAAAAACAAGUAACAUAAUACAUUAAAGUUUGGUCACGUAAGUCUAAUAUUCUUACACAAGUCAGCUGCUGAUAACAUACUAAAUACAUAAGACAACUCUAUAAUACAAAAAUUACUCAUCUCUUAACAAGCCAAAUAUAUUCAAAUUUGAAUCCAUCAUUAUUGAGAUUACUGUUCUUCAAAUAGUUAAACAAAUUACGCUUAGAUAUUUUUCCUGUUGUUUGUCUGAAUGUUUUUUUUGUUUUUUUCUGUGUAAAGAUUAAUUUUAAAACUUCUAAAUCGAUUCACGAGUAGGUCUUACCCCACCAUUUCUACAAUGAUCAGUAAUAUUCACGAACUGGUAACUUAAAUUAUUACAGUUGUGGGAGAAAUGUUUUUGUCCGGAGAGAGACAUGUCAUGUUACAUUUUCGUGUUACCUGCAAAAGUAUGGAAAAAAAAUGAUGGACCCAAUAUUGGACCCACCCACCCUAUCAAUUUUUUAUUCUUCAAAUAAAACCUAUCUUUGGAUGCUUUGGUCUAAACGUCUCACUAGAGAUAUAACACAAUUAUGGGCCAUAAUUGUUUAAAUGUUUAAAUCCGAUAACGCGAUGAUGUAUCAUUACAUUUACAUAGUAGACUAAUCAUUCUUGUCGUUGGAAUGAUUCUCUUUGCUUUUACGUUUUACUGAAUUUAAUAAAAAUAAUAAAUACGCCCAAAAAAGUAUGCAUCGUGAACUUACCACAUUUCCCUCCAAGAAAUAUGGCUACUUUCGUGGUAGUCUUUGCCCUUACAUUUUUGUGUAUAUAUAAAUUUUCAUUAGUCUAUAAUUAUAGGAUAAUAUCAUUGUUGCAAAUUUAUUGGUGAUUUGUUUCCCCAAUCUCUUAAGAUUAUAAAUUGUACGUGUAAACAUUUUUGCCGUUAUUCGAUUUAUUAUGAAUAAAACGAAAAUAAAUAUAAUUAAGAAAUAAACUCUUAGACAAACAAAUACAUAUAUGAAAUAUACAAGUACCCUUUAGUAACAGUUUUUAAGUUUUAAUUAUAUUAUUCAUCUUAUCCUAUUUAAUUCAUGUUCUUGUUCCCACGUCCAUAUGAACGGUUAGGUUUGUUAGUGUCCGAUAUAGUUGUGGGAUCUUCACAUCAACAAAAAGAAGUCCCAACAAUCUCUUAAAACUAAUCAUGACCAAUUGUCUUUAUACUACUUUGGUGAAAUGUUUGGAUUUAAUUCUGGUGAUAUUAUGCUACCUUUAUAUAUACAAGUUUUGGCCCAAGAUCUGCCUUCAUAUAUCUGGGCUAAUGAUAUACAGUACUUUAUUAGAUAACUUGUUUGUGCUGUGCGAAGAGAAAAUUUUACAUUUUGAAAAUUCGUUCCAAGUCGUUAAUACAUGGUAGUUCAUUAGUGAUUGAUUGAAAUUUCAUUAGUGAUUGAUUGUAUUAUUGGCUUAUAUCUAUAUACUUUUCUAAGUAUAAGUUUUUUAAUUGCCAAUUUUCAUAUUCAUAUAUGCGUUAUUUACCAACUUGAUUAUCAGAACACCUAUGUACACAUGUAAUAUAUUGAACGUUCAUAAAAAGUUUCAUAGUCCACACAUGACAUAUAUAUCACAUGAUGACAUUUAAUGUCAAAUUGAAUUCCACGCUUCCUACGUUUUUUUAUUUAGGAAUUUCAGAACUUGGGAGCUGUGGAAUCCAUUAUAGUUUAAUGAAACUAUGAUUUUUAAAAUGGGGUUAUAACUUAUAACUGUUUAAAGGAUUUUUUUAAAUGUUACUGUCAAUAAAUCCACUCACUCCGACUACUAUAAAUUUUAAAACUGAACAUCUACAGCAAAAACUUCUAUAAAUUUAAUAUUAUUGGGGGCAUAAUAUUUAUUACAAAUAUUAAUUAAUCAAUAUCUAUUAUUUUAAUAGUUCUAGCAAAAUUCAGUUUUCAUUUUUGACUUCAAAUUCAUUAUUCUUGCAUUUUUGUGUUUUUAUAUAUUGUCAUAGUAUUUUAUUCAAAUGUGUAAAAAAAAAUCUGAUUAAAAAAGAUCUUAGAAAAAAAAAAUCUGAAUUUUUGUUUAAUAAUGUAAAAAUGUUUUGCUGUAUUCAUAUCUAACGCUAAGGCUCCAAUUUGUAAAUUGCAUAAUAACAUAGUGGUAUAAGUUACACGAUAAAUAUUCGCAUAAUAAAAAUUUACAGAAUGAAUAACAAGAAAACGAAAUUACUUUUAAAAUAUAUUGAUUGAAUAUAUUUUGUAGAACAGCAAAAUAAAAUAUUAUAUUAAUAUAUAUAUAUAUACUUAAUAAACAAAACCAUGUUUUAAUUAAUUUUAGUAAUUUUUAAAUAAUAUUUGAUAAUAAAAAUAUAAGAUUACUAAAAUUUAUUAAAAAGUUGCGAAAAUAUUUUUUAAAUAUUAUUAAUGAAAUAAUUUUUUGUAUAAAAAAUAUAUAUUUUUCUUUUAUAAUUUCUAAUAUUUAUUAUGCGUAGAAUAAUAAUAAUUUAUUAUGUGGAUAAGUAAUUCUAUAUCCAAUUUUUUGCAUAAUGUAUUUAUUUGUAAUUUUAAGUAAAAAUGCAAAUUUUGUUUUUUUGUGCUUUCUAUUGUAAUUAUGUAGAUUUUUUUUUUUGACAAAUUUUUUGCAUAAUCUCAUUAAAAGCACUAUUAUAUCAUUAUUCAUAUUAUCAGUCAGAGCUUAAAUUGUAAAAUUGUUUUAUGAUUUAUUGUGCCUAGAUCUUGAUGUCAACUUUUGCUCAAAAAAAACAAAAAAAGAUCUUGAUGUCAAACUUACCAAAUAACUUUUAGUCAACUAGCUUUUUAUUUGUUUAUUAUAGUUUACUUAAGCGUAGUCGCGUAGAUGAUAAAAUCAUAAUUCAGUAUACCUGAGAGAGUGAGAGGAGAAUCCUUAUCUAUUGACUAUUAUUACUAAAAGCGAAACUAGCUCAUCUGCUCAUGUAUUCACGUGAAAUUCUGCAAUCAUCCUUCGGAGCAAAGCCAGGAGCAUAUCCUGGAGAAUAGCAAGAUUAAAAAAUUUGGAUUCUUACAUUUAUUUCCUAGAUCUAAUUUUAAAUUGAUAAUAUACAGGAUUUUGUAUUUAGGUGCGACCGUGUUAUGUUUAAAUCAAUAGCGUAAAUCCAGUAAACAAAAAGAUCACUGAAAUAAUGUUAGCCUAAAACAAUAUUCGUUGUAAUUUUGUAAGUUAUCAAACGUCUAAUGUCUUAACUCUUAAGUGCCUAUAUGCAAAUACAAUUUGAUUGUAGUUUGAAACAUGAUUUUUUUUUGGUUAAAAGUUAGAAACAUGUUAAUGUACUAAGACUCCAUACAGAUAUUUCUAGUGUCAAAGUUUACUGAUAUAUUGACACUCAUAUGGAUCAACUUUCGAUCAGAUUGUCAGAUCAAAGACUAACUCCUAAGAAAUUUGGUUCCACAACUCAAUUUAUAUCAUUUUCCAAAAAUGAUUAAUCUUGUGGUUGUGGAUUCAUUUUAAAGUGAAUUUUGUUAUUUAAAGCAUAGUAUCUAUUCCUUUGCCAAAAAAAAAGCAUAGUAUCUAUUCAAAUUAAAUAGGUUUUGAUAAGAGGUUGAAUUUGAUAAACUUACAUGUUUCAUUUUCACAAAAACGAUUGAAAACUAAUUACAAUAGCGGAUUGUAAAUCAAACCUACGUAUUGCAUGAACCUUUUAUCUCUAUUAUUUUCAGUUCUAUGAAGGUUCGGUAUUUUUGUCAACUGGUUUCUGUCAGGGCUAACUGAUCAGUGUAGUAUCCCAGGUAGGGUUAGACUAUUGGGUUUGGAGUAUUGAGUAAUUCUGUUGGGCUAGCUAUAAAUAGAGUAUGGGCAAUAGUUAUAAGAGCUCGGAUAUACUCAGAGUUAUACUAGUAAUAGUUUUGGGCUUGGAUUAGAAUCUAGGCUAGCGUUAGAGGGCUAGGGUUUAGGGAAUCAAGGCCUCAUAACUUAUCUUGAUUUUCUAAUUAGCAAAUAAGAAAACAAAAAUCAUAUGUUUUUUUGUCUGAUAGAAAAGCUAUUAGUAUUACCCAUCGGCGACUACUAUGCAUCAUCCUUUUUAGAAAAACUUGUAGGUGCCGACCAAAAAUCAAAUGAAAAGAAAACUUGUAGGCGAUAGUACUGUUUAUCGCGUGUAAGGCAAGGCACUGUUCCCAAGUUAUCUUUAAUUUCUAAAUAGAAGCAAGAUGAUUUUUUUAAACAAAAAUAAAAAUUGAUACAGUAUAUACAAUAUAAUUUCACACUAGUAACAUAUUAUAAACACUUUAAUUGUCAUUUUUUUUUUUAACAAAUUCAAAAGUUUUCGACAAUUCUUACAAGUUAGCUAUGAACGUUAUAACCAAUCCAGCACCUAUGUCGUUCCAUUAUUUGUAACGGAAUAUCAACUAUUUGGGAAAUCCCGAAAGACGAAAGUCCAUAUCUCUAAUUGUGCUAAUGUGUUUUUAAUGGUUUUUUGCUAACAAGAUGUCGAUAAUCUCUUCUGGGUGAUAAAACUCAGAAUAAUUUUGUUUGUAAUUAAAAACUAAUUAUACUGAAGAUAAAUGAUCGUUUUUAUUAAUUAAAACUUUAAUAUAUUGAUAGAAAAGUAAUAAAAACACUAUUAAACAAUUAUAGAUAUAAAUCUCAUCUUCAAUGAGAGAUAUGAUGAAAUAUACUAACUUUUUUUUCUUUUAAUCUCUUUUGUAUAUCUUAAGGUCUAUUUUCAUAAAGGGGGUUAUGAACUUGAGAACUUCCACCACCAUAUCACCACCACUCAAAGUCGUUAAAGCUCACCUGAUCAUCGGAUGAACCCACGUACGCGUGAUCCUCAGGUGGCAUUGAUGAGGACGUGGCUUGAUGGUGCUGAAGGUCAGUGGUGAGGUCCAUGAGAUCGUUAGGGAUGGGAUAGUGAUCGUUUAGAUUUCCGAUGAGCAUUGCAAUGGAAGCUUCCUCUUCGUCUCUUGGUAUGUAAUCAAGCAUUGCCUCUUCGUAGUGGUUCCUUUCCCUCGACUCAUUUUCUCUUCCUUCAUUUUGUUUUCCCGAAUUUCCAUUCAUGGCGAAGUACUGUAAUAAGAACAAGCGAUCACACACAGACACAUAAGUCAUAAGUCCUAACCAAACCAAAUCAAACCAUAUUAUAAACUCUAAAUUAACCAAAUUUCAAUUAUUAUAAAAUUUUCUCCAUAGUAUUUACUUCCCCCUAGGCCCACAAGUUAUUAAUACCUACCAUAUAAGAACAGUUAUCAUUGACAGAAAAAGGUUUUAAAACUUUUGUCUGGAUGCUUAACAAACUCAAUUCAAAGACCACUUUUUAAAUUUCCAAUUUUGGACUACUAAUUAAUCAUUUUUUUUUUAACUUUUUCAUGUCUUUUUACAAAAUUAAAUAGGGAAAUGAAGUAAAUAGAGAGCUCACGAGAUUCUUGCUUUCGUCCUCGUAUAUUGUUAAAAAGUCUCCUAUCUCAGCUCCAUUUUGCUUCACAAAUUCUCCUUUAGUUAUCACCACAAAAAAAAAGGAAAAGGUAAAUCAUAUUUAUUUAAAAGUAGUUUUACAUAAGAUUUUGUACUUUUGAAAUAAUAUUGGAGCUCCUUAAUUUACCUGUGUUCUCGAGGACAUACAUUCUGCUCUUGUUAUUGGACCAAAACCUAUGUCAUUAAUACGAGCAUUUAGUCUUCUAAUUAUAAUACUGUUCCCAAUUGAUAAAAAAAAAAUCAAAAUUUAAAACUAAGUAUGAGAACCGGUAACACAAAAAGGGACUAACAGUUGAGCAUAAAAUUAAAGUUGUGUUAAUUGGGAAAUGAAAAAUGGAUUAGAAAGCGAAUUAUUUACUUGUAUUUGAAAGACCAAGACUGCAUAGAGAAAACAUCUCUCAUCUGUACAACGAUUCCUUCUUUAUCAGAUAGCUUCGGAAGAUUUGCUUCUGCAUCUCUCUGCAUUCCAAAGCCAUGAUUCACGUAUUAGUGUCUUGCUAAGAAAAAUAAGAACGAUAUCAUUAAAAUAAAAUUGAUUAAAAGUUUGAUAAAACCCCAAGAUAUGUAGAAUCUUUUUCCCUAAUGAUUUUUAUUUAUUCACUUUUUCGAGGUAAAGUGGUAAACCAUUCAAUGGACAAUUAAUUAGGAAAGGCAUAUAAACGACCUUUCAUUUUCUUCAACCCAAUUUCAAAUUUAACAAAUACAAAUAACAACAUUGAAGGAAGAAGUAGCAUUCCAUAUAUUCAAUAAUUAUAAGCUAUCUUUAAAAAAAUCAAGUUUAAAACUAUAAAAAAUUAAAUUAAUUCAUAUACUACUUGCUAAAUAAAUAAAAAAUCAAAAACAUAAAAGUUCGUACAGAAACCAAACAAAAUUUGAUUAAACUAACUUUACUUCAGUCCACAUUUUCUUCUCAUGUUUCUUAUUCAUCUUGUUUUCGUGUGGAUACUUAUUUUAAAGACUUAAAACUUUUUAUUGGUUAAACAGAAAACAGUUAGAUAAACAUAUUAUGUAAAAUUUGAAAGUAAAAUGAAAUGUGCAAGAAAAACUCAGUGAAAUUGAAUAAUGAGAUAAUAUGUGGCCGCAACGAUUUUUGUGCUUGUGUUCCACAAAUCUCUUGUAUAAAAUGACGGAAGUCUAAUCCUCAUAAAAUAACUUUAUUCUUCUAAGAAUUUUUUUAUGGGAUUGUGUUUUAAAUUUUCAAUGACGUACGUGAUUGAUGAUUAUCAUUUUCAUCAAUGCAUUUCAUUUAUCAUUAUACAAUAACAGAAAAAGAAGAAAAAUCAUGAAAACAAACAGAAUUUUUUACCAAGUAUUGGUUCGAGAAAUUAAAAAGAAUUUUAAGAAUUCACAUACCUUUGGUAGAACUAUCCUCCCGAGUGACCCAACAUCGCUGUUCUUCAAUUCCUUCUCACACAAAACCCUAAGCUUCUACAAGCAACAACCAAAACAAAAUAAAAAUAAUUAAAAAUUGUAUCAUAAAGUUUUAUACACCCAAAAUUGUAUAUAUUCAUAUAAUAACAUGAAAACCAAAAAAUAAAUAAGAAAAUCGUACAUAUUCAAAAAUUGGGACGAAUAAAAACCAAACCUUGUUAUCAAAUGUGGACUGUUGGUAGCUAUCUUUCUUGUCGGAGAUCUGCACGUUAUUUUUCAAGUUAAGCAUCAUCAGCUGUCUCUUUGAAUCAACCAACUCACUUGGACUAGAAUUAGGGCUAGAGUUGUUUCUUGAUCUCAUCAUGGCGUUUUUCCUGUUGAUCCUUGCCAUCUUCGUCAUACGCGGAUCAAGAAAACCACCUCUCUCUUGCCACAAACAAGGAUUACCAACCAGAGAACCGAAUUCACUUCCGGUUUGCGUAACCGGGAUCUGAGGAUAACACUCCGAUAAGUAAACCGGCUGAGGAUUCAUCACCGCCGCCAUCUGCUCCACCGGGUAUGAAAACGGAGGCAAGAAGUGAUGAGGCUGAGCCUGAUGAUGAUCAUAAGUAGGGACUGUUGUGAAGUGCGAGCGAUUGUUGUUAGGAUCCAUAGAGAGUUCUUGGACAGAGUUUGCGUUAGAAGAGGGAAAGGGUAAGAAGUUAUCCAUUUUUCCCGGAGAGAGAGAGAGAGAGAGGGAGAGAGAUCUGAGUGAAGAAACAAAAAAAAAGAGAGGUCGUUGGGGAGAUUGAUUAGGAGAGAGCGAGUGAAGAAGAGACAGAUGUUGGAAAAACACAAAAGAAAACGAGUCAAAAUGUUGCAGAUGGUUCAAUGUUUGCAGCUUAUGGGGAUACCCAUCGCACCACUCAGACAAGGAGAGAGAUAUGAAUACAGAGGUUAGGACAUAUACAUACACUAGUACAUGUGUAUAUGUGGCGCCAGAUUGUGUUUGAAUGUAUAUAAUGGCUUUUAUGGCACAGAAGACCACGAGAAGGUCAUUGGCUAUAUGUGUUUUUUCUCAGAGAGAGAGAGAGAAGGCUCUUUAUUUUAUUUUGGAGUUCCUUGGCUCUCUUCCUUAUAUAUUAACUCUGUUAAGGUCCAAAUCUAUACCUUAAUAUGCAGUUCAAACAUUGAAAAAACGAAUCUUUGUACCUUUAGAAAGAUUUAGCAUAAAUGCAUAAUAAUUAAAUUUAGAGUAAACACCAUUAAUAGCCAUUCAUAUUUUUGUAUAAACUAAAUUUCUUUGUAAUUAAUAUUUUUUUGUCGUUUUUGCGUAUUCUGAAAAAACGGGUUAUUUUAAUAUAAUAAACUUAUUAUAGAUUUUUUUUUGUAUUCAAACAUUGAAAAGGACAAAUCCAUUUAAUUUUGCAAAAACUAAGUUAGUCGUUUUUCCAUUUAAUAUAUAUUUUUGUCGUCUUUACAUAUUUUGAAUAAACGGUUAUUUUAUUAAAAUAACUUUAGUGUAAAAAUUAUUCGUAUCCAAUAUUGAAAAAGAUAAUUCCAUUUAAUUUUAAAAGUAAUGUGAUAUUUAGCAUACUAGUUUUGUGAAAAUCGAGUCAAUAGUUAUUCUUAUUUUGUAGAAACUCAAUUAAUUGUCAUUAGUACACUUUUGAGAAAAUUUUGCUUUUUAGAAAAUUUACUAUGCGCUAAAAUUUAUUGGAAUCAGAACACACGGCAUAAAAUAUAUAACCAAAUAUAUAGUCUUAGAAAUGGUACGAUGAUAGAUUUUGUGCAUAUUUUGCAAAACUCGAUUAAUCGGAACAAAUAAUUAUUUUUAACUAUUGGAUAUUGGAAUUUGUUCUUACAUAAAUUAAAAUCUGAUUUUUUUAUACAAGCUACUUUUUUUGUCGAAAUAAUUUUAUUAAGUGUCUCACAAUUUUUUUUCUUUUCGAAAUCAUAACCCAUAGAACACUCUACAAAACAAAGUUUUUUCUAUACUAAUAAUGAAACAACUAGAAACAUAGUUAUCAAAGAUAAUAUAAGCUUGACUGUCACCAAAUUUCUAACCAUGAAUUAGGUUUGGUAACAUGUUCAACUCGUGCCCUAAGAACACCUCCAAUUACCCAGCAAUUUCUAUCAUCUUAUUGGUUUCCUUUUUCGUCCCAACCCAAUGUUAUGCUCUAUCAGAAACUUACAUUUGGCGAGGAGAUGGACACAAAUUUUGUUCUAAACCGCGGCCGCCGAGCUCAUGUUUAUUCUCGGCCAUAAACUCUGAAAUUUUGAAAAACUCGUUUUCUUGUUCGUUAUAAGUUUGAAAUAUAGUUUUGUAUAGGUAUAUUUGGUGAAACAUAUAUAUCAAUAACAAUGGAAGGAAAUGGUGGAUUAGUAAAAAAUAUUGAAGAGGCAUGGGUUGAUGGACAAAAAGAUCCCACUCAGUUAAUUAUGGCAAAUACUGGAAGAGGCGCACGACUCGUAACUCCUAGCGAGACUAAGGAGGUAGGGGAAAUAUAGUGAUGUAGCGUCAUAUAUAUUUUCUUAUUUUUUGGGAUUUUUCUCUGUUUUUUUUUUUUUUUUUUUUCUGUCUGAAUGAUUCAUGAUAUUAACAACAACUUGUUCACAAUUACAAAGAGGAAACAAAAGCAAUCAAACUACAGAAAAUCAUUACAACAAUGUAAUGUAUUUAUCAAUUUCAAGCACCUUCCGUAGCCAAAAGGGGUAGCGUAGAGCUACAUAAGAUUGCGACCGGUCCGCCAUUGUGACACUUUUAGAUAAGAGGAAAGCUCCUUGGAUUGCAUAGCUACAUAUACUCUGUUUGUUAUUAUCGUAGAGUUUUUGACACUUGCUUUGAGAAAUUUGUGUCCGGGUGAAGAAGUUGUUUCCAAGUAUAUAUAUUUUGGUUUUGUUAGAUAUGUCGAAGACGAUUUAGACUUAUCAUUAGUAGUAUAUGUAGCUUUGCUUCAUGUUUUUUGUUCGUUGGCUUUGGUUGAGUUAUAAUUGAUAUAUCAUGGAUUAUUUUCCGUUAUUAUUUAUGAUAUAGAUAUUGUUUUUAGAGUUACUAUGUUAUUUUAAAAAUCUUUUCGGUUAUUUAUGCGAAUAUAUUUGGAGUUCGUUAAGUAUUUUGGAACCAAACAGAAAAAUAAAGGCUGAAAAAACGAAUUUGGUGUCAGAUCAAGUAAUCAAUGUCGAUCGACAUGUCGAUAGACACCGUUCGCAUCCCAACAAAAGUCUUCCCAGUUUAAAAAUUAGAAGAUUACAUAAUUGUCCCAUAAGAUUUUUGUAUUUGCAUUAUUUGUUCCUAAAUGUUUUUGAGAACCUAUUAAUAUAUUUUGGGUCAAUAGUUAGAAUUAUCAAGCUUUUACUUUUUGUUUUCUAUUUUUCAAGAAUUCUUUAGAGAUUUCAAAACCUUAUAAAGAAAAUAAUACUUUCUAAACUCUAUAAUCUUUUGAAUUAUUUAUGUAAUUUUAUUCAAAUAUGAUAUAUGCUUCUAUGAUCAUGUCUUAGUAAUGCUCUCGUUGAGUUUAGGGAUUCACAUAGGGAUAGGAUGAAAUUAGUAAAUCCAUAGCUUCUUAGGAUAAUAUAUUUAGAGUUCUAUAUCUACAUGUCAGUUUCUCAAAACUUGUUCCUAAGAAUAGCAUUACUUUAUUAUAUUAGAUUAGAAGAAAAUUUGGACUACUCCCGAAUAUAUAUGUAACAAUUGAAUUAAGAGUUUUAAUCCGGGCUACCUAAGAGAUUUAUAUUUUAACUGUUAAUAAAUGUUGUUGUAAUUAGCUUUUUACAAAUGUUACUGUUUGAUGUUUAACAAUUUUCGUAAGAUGACAUAUAAGUUUUUGGAGAAUUCUUAACAAAAUGUUGUAAGAGUACAUAUCACCAACUAUAUAGUCUUCUAUGUAAAAAAAUCAUGAACUCAAAGAUAUAUAUAUAUAUAUAUAUAUAUAUAUAUAUAUUUUGUUAUUGAAGCUCAAAUCUUUAGAUGAGGUUCGACAAUAAAAUUAUAUAUUUUUCAAAUAAGCUUUGGACAUCAAUGAAUUAAGGACUACAAAUGAAGCAGAUGCGAUAAAACACUAAUUAGAUUUUUGUAAAGAUAUACAUAGAUCAAAAGUGACAGUAUUUUGAAUCAAAUUGACUAUAACAACGUUUAGCAACAACCUGGUGGUGGCCAGUAUAGGAAAUAAUUUUUCUUGUCCUUCAUUUUAGAAGCCUGAAAGACAUAUAUAACAAUGUGAUUUGAUACCAACAUCAUUAUAUGUAUUAUCACUGUUGAGAUUUCAGAGCAACCAUAUUAUUGAAGACUGUAAUCAAGCCUUUUGAUCAAGUGCGAUUGUAUGAGUUCCAUCUCCAUCGCUCCUCCUCCACCACUCCAAUUACGAAAUUCAGAACUUUCUUUCUAAUUCAACGUUAUAGAUAACAUGUUGAACUCGAUAGUGUUAAAAAACCUGCCCAAGCGAAAAGUUUAAAUCAAUGAUCAUGGGAAAAGAAGCAACUGACCAAAGCAAGGAAGAAGUAAGAAACCAACCUUUAUGUGAUAAGGCGAAAAUCACCAAGAGGGAGCUAGAAGAUAGAAACUAUGCACAGGUUUCUCCAAUUAGUUGCCUGCAAAAGAGAGAUAUUGGUCAAGGAAUUGAUCAAACAGAAACAUAGGAAGGUUGGGAAAAAAAUUUGUGAACUGUAGGCAAAGAAGCUCAGAAAACAAAAAUAUAGUGAGUAGUCUAAAUAUAACUAUGUGAAGAAAAAUCUGUAGUUUUAAUUGUCAUCUCUCUAAGUUGUUAAUACGUUAGCUUGCUUUCACUCUAAAUCAAAAGAAACAAAACAGAGGGUAAAGAAGAGAACGAAAACAGAGAACUUGAGAGAAGAGAGGGAACAGACUUAGAGUUUGAUGGAGAAGAUGAAGAUGAUCCAACCUGAAACAGAGUGAAAAGAGAAGAAUUCAACACCAUCAUGAUAAGCUUUUUAAACCCUCAACCCCAUCAUGAUAAGCUUUUCCAAUCCCACCUAUGCAACAAAAUAGAAAAUCACCAUCAUCAUCAUUAUGAUUCAAAAAAGAAUAUGGCAAUAAAUGAAACCACAACCACGUAGUACAGUGUUUGCUUAACACUCCCAAACAAAAUGCAGUGGCAAAUGUCUGCGUAUAAUACUCAGAAUAACAAAAAAAAGGAUCACUAAAUUGCUAAGUGAUAUCAAUUCUCUUAAUGAGAUCAGACAUCAAAUAAAAACUAAAGAGUACCUCUAAGCAGUCAAUAAGACUCUCAGUACAAUGAAAUUAAAUGAUUUGAACAGGCCCAUAAUUUCUUCGGCGUAAGAGGUUGCUGAUGUGGGAUUCUUGUUAGAUGAUUUUUAGUUUGCUAAUGUGGCUAGCUUUACAAGUCUUAGCUUCUUUUAUUAGUAGUAGAUUUAACAUUUCAUUCAAAAAUUAAUAAUAAUAAUUAUAAUGUAAUAUAUAAUGGUUUAUUGUUUAUCUAACAAGUGUUUAUUAGUUUGAGUUAAAAUUCUAUAUGACCUACAUUAAUUUGACAAGUUUAGCUACAUUAGUUAUCAAUAUUUUGCAUUCUCAGAGCAUUAAACAACAUACAAUAUAUAUUGUAGAAGCAUUGAUUUGCAUUCUAAGAAAUCUUAGAAGAUAUAUCUUCAUUUAAAUAUCAAAAAUAUUUUCUGGAUAUAACAAUAGAAAUUUUACAUAGUUAUUAACUUAUUAUAAAUUCACGAUGCAUUUACAUAUAUCUUUUGCAGUGAAUAGAUAUAUAUACAAAAAGAAAAGAAAUGAAAGAAUAUGAAAUAUACUUAGACAACAAUAAUAUCAAAGAUCUAAAGAAUAUAUAUUUUUCCGUUCACAUCUUGGACUUCACGGAAUUUAUUUCAUAAUCAAGUUUUAACGACCUAGAUGAAUAUAUAUUCUUCAAGAUCAAUACCAAGAUAACAAUUCUUACGGUGGCAUUGGCUUCCAAUUAUGAACUUUAUGGAUCGUACCUUGAUUUAACCUAAAAUAUAUUCCAUCUUCUCUAGCUGUCCAUUCAUAUGUGCCUCCUUGAGCCACACCCGGUUUAUAUUCAUACACAUCAAAUUGUUGGCCAGUCCUAUAAUCAGGCCCAUGUCUAAAGGUACACCAAAAAAGUGUCGUCUUCCAAAAAUUAUCCCUAAUAUCAAAUUGAUAUAUUUUUCCAUACUUGACAUAAUGUUUUCCCAUGUCGGCCUUUCCAGAUUUACACUGCACAAAGAGGUCUGAGUGCUUCUGAUUGGGAUCAAGAUCGUUCCAGAUAUGGAGCUUGUUUGCUCGUCCAUAUACAUUACCAAUUAUGCAUAGGCCAUAAAAAAAUAGAAACACUGACAGAUAUUUCAUUUUUUUUUUUCAGGUGUUUAGAUUUUAAUUUUCUUCUGUUUUUGUUAUUUUGAACUAAUAAUUUUCUUCUGCUAAUUAAAUUGCUUUUGUGCUUGUUAUAUUAUAUAUAUAAAUCUAUAAAUUGCUAUUUUUAGAUUUACAUUUUCUUGUCUCCAGACUUAUAGGAAAUUUCUAUUAAUAAUGAAGGUAGCAAAUCAGUGUAUUGGAAUUUUGGCUAAUCCAAAACUGUGUAUCGUCCAUAUAUUUUACCAAAAACUGCAGUAUUUUCCUUUUGACAUGUGGCAUAAGUUUUAUUUUUUAUGUUUUGCUUUAUUUUUUUUUCUACUCACGAUAAAAACUAUUGCCAAUACUAUUGCAAAUUUGAGAAUUCAAAAUCGGGUUUUUUAUAUCUCAUAAUUACAUUAUGUUAUCUAAAAUAUCUUGUUGUAUCUAAACACAUUUCGAGUAGUAAAAAACUUAAACUUUAUAUUUAUAUUUACGUGCAGAUACUUUUUGAAAAAUCAUUAUUUCUACUAUCGAAACUUCAUGAGCUUCUUCAUCUUAGGUGUUCAUCGCUAUGGAGUUUCAAUUAAUUUGAAAUCAAUUUCUAAUUGGAUUCAAGGUCAGAAGUGGAAAAGGUUUGAUCUAAAAAUCAAUUUCAGUGUAUCUAGCUUUUGUUAUGGGGUGAGAAAUUUAGGAUAUCUUACACGAUGCUUGGUAAUUUAGGGUUACAGUUGUCUCACAUAACUCUUACCAUAAGUUUUUGAUUCGCAUGUGUGUUCAAAGGAUUUGGUUUUCCAGUUCAGCCAAAAAAGACUAUGGGAGCAACUUUGCUACUGUUUUUUAUUGGCGUACCUUUAGUAUUGUAGUCUUUUUGAGAUCCUUUUUAAUGUACUUUAUGCAACAGGUUUUGGCGACAAGCUCAUUGCUUCUUUCCUGGCUUUUACCAAAUCCAGAGAACAACCUUAAGCUUCAACUCUACAAUUUUGAGAAUUCUAAUCUAACUUGUAUAUUUGUCUUGUGUUUAACUGGCUACACAAGAUAUGCAAUGGGUGGGAAAAUGAAGCCAAAGACCACCUUUCAAGCAUUUAAUAUUGAAUCACUACCAUUUUUUUGCAUAACAUUGAUAUAUGAAUUCUCCGACGACUUUGUAAUCUAUAAUUGAUUUCAGGUCAUUUGUGGUAUAAACACUGCAAUUUCAAGACUUUCAAGACUCAAGAGUAGGAAUGUGUACAGAGUAUAAUAUUUCAGAACACAUGGAAAUUCAUGAAUGUUACCAUCUUUGUAUUAAAAAUGAUUGUAAAGUAAUAUAUAAUGGUUUAUUGGUCAAGUGUUUAUUAGUUUUGAGUUAGAAUUCUAUAUAAACUACGUUAAUUUUGACAACUUUGUCUACAUUAGUUAUCAAUAUUUUGCAUUCUCUGAGCAUCAAACAACAUACAAUAUAUAUUGUAGAAGAAUUGAUUUGCAUUCUAAGAAAUCUUAGAAGAUAUAUAGCAUUAUCUUCAUUUCAAUAUCAAAAGUAUUUUUUGAAUAUAAUAACAGAAAUGUUACAUAGCUAUUGACUUAUUCUAUAUUCACGAUGCAUUACAUCUUUUGCAGUGAAUAUAUAUACAAAAAGUAAAGAAAUGAAAGAAAAUAAAAAUAUUACUUAAACAACAAUAAUAUCAGAGAUCUAAAGAAUUUUUUCCCGUUCACAACUUGGACUUCACGGAAUUUAUUUCAUAAUGAAGUUGUGACGGUGUAGAAUAUAUAUUCUUCAAGAUCUAUACCAAGAUAACAAUUCUUACGGUGGCAUUGGCUUCCAGUUAUGCACUUUACGGAUCGUACCUCGAUUUACCCUAAAAUAUAUUCCAUCUUCUCUAGCUAUCCAAUCAUAAUCGCUUCCUUGAGGCACACCCGUAUAUUUAUACGCAUCAAAUUGUUGGCCAAUCGUAUAACCAGGCCCAUGUCUUAAAGUACACCAAAAAAGUGUAUUCCUCAACCAUGUUUCCUUAACAGGAAAUUGAUAUAGUUUUCCCCACGGAAGUUCUUGUCUUCCUUUGUCGAUCGUUUUAGAUUUACAAUGCACAAAGAGGGUUGUGUGCUUGUGAUUGGGAUCGAGAUCGUUCCAGAUAUUGAUCUUGUUUGUUGUUCUGCUACCAUUUACAACAAUUAUGCAUAGGCCAUAAACAAAUAGAAUCACUAGGAGAUAUUUCAUUUUUUUCUCAACUUCAGAUGUUUAGAUUUUAAUUUCCUUCUGUUAUAUUGCUUUUGUACUUAAUAUAUUAUUUGUAUACAUAAAUUGCUAUUUUUGGAUUACAUUUUCUUGUCUCCAAACUUUUAGAAAAUUUCUAUUAAUAAUUAAGGUAGCAAAUCAGUGUUUUGGUUUAUUGGCUAAUCUAAAGUUGUCUUUUUUUCACCAAAAAGUCGAGACCAUAGGAAUUUAUGUGGUCAUCCGGCCAUAAACAUCUGAUAAGUGGCAAACCAACUUUUUAAUGAUAUUCCGACAUAAAAUCAUUAGACAUUUGAUUACUAAUAGUGUAAUGAUAUUAGAUUACAAUAGAUUCGCUGACAAUCUGGCGGAUCCAUUUACCAAGGGUUUGACACGAGAUCAAAUGAUAAAAUUAUCAAGAAUAAUGGAUUUAAAGCUUAUGUAAUAUAAAGAUGAUAUUUUGAUGGAUACCCCACUUAUAUGACUAGAGAUCCUAAGAACUAGGUUUAAAAGGGAACACUAAAUCAAACGAAAUGACUAAUAGUCGCAGCCCAGUUUCUAGGAUAAUAAAUAGUGUUUCAUGUACGUUUAAAGGAUAAGCAAUGCUUUUAAAAGUUGAAUCCAAAGCUUUAAUAUAUAAGUAGAGUUUUACAGGAAACUUCUCAAAAUAAAUGCUAAGUGACAAAUCACCUAAUGAGUAUGAAAUGUGGUCGUUUCUAGGGAAAUAUGUAAGGCUAUAUUCUCUAAGUUCACUCAUGAAAUCCAGGAAUGUUCAAGGCCAAAAUGAACAUAAUAUAGAGAACUUGUUUUUACGAGAAAAAGUAGAUGGGUUUCACUUGUUGUCUAGGUUUUCAUAAAAAUCUGGGUGGUUCAUGACAUAAUAUUCACCUCUCGGACGAGUAAACUUGACAGAUAUUAACAAUGACUAGUUCAAGGCAAAAAUGCUACCAUCUCAUGCACAUCUAAUUUUUCGCAUAUACUCUUGAAAGUCAAGUCUCUCAAAUCUAGGUCAGUUUUAGGUUAUAGAGUCAUUAAAAAGUCUCAAAUAUUUAGAGUCAAUUCUAUUCAUGUGGGGGAUUGUUGGAACUCAAUUUUACACAAGUGGCUCUCGCCAUCUUUCCGGCAACUUUUCCGGUGAUGGCCGUCACCGGAAUGACCGGAUCAUGGAGUUUUUGGAUUCCUUAUAAUGAGCACUAUAAGAUAAUGUAUUUACAUGUAAAAAUUGAAGUUAUAUUGAAUGAGUAAUUGAGGUUCAAAGUAGUGAGCUUAAAAACUUAUAAUAAUAAAUAAUAACAUUUGUCCCACAUUGGAAGUUUGAAGGUUCUCCUUUUAGUAUAUGGUUCAGUACUACUUAUUGGGAGAAGACACUAUGGUGUAGGAGAUGCAAGUUCAUUAUGCAAAACAAAUCACAUGCGCGACCGCACCGCCAUGCCGAGCCGAGCUGGGCCAGGCCAGGCUUGGGUUUGGGCUCUUGGGGAAUGUGGGCCUCGACCCAUAAAAGAUGUUAUUUUUGAAUAAAAUACUUAUGAGGCUUUUGUUACUUUUAUGUAACAUUUGCUACAUAAAUUAUUGCCCAAUAAGAAAUCAGUUUGCAUAAUGAAAAGAGAUUAUUCGAAUAUUUCUUAUUCAAAUUUAAAACGAGAAACGGAAAGUCAUAAUGGCUCAUAAAAUCUCGCACACGUUUUGACUUGCGCUUUACUCCGAGUUAAUAGCGGAUCACGCGAUCUUCGCCCUUAAUUGCGGAUCGCAUUUGCUCCUCUCUUGGCUAUAAAAGCAACGGCUCCUCCUCUCAUUUUAUUCACUCGUUUCUCGCAAAAAGUUGAACGAACACUCUCUCCCAUCUCUCCCUUUCUUCUCAAAGUAAGUCUCAAGAGUAUAUAGUAGUUUUCAAGUUCGUAGAUUCUGUUAUCGAGUGUUGCGAUACCGGUCUUAUAGUGGUUGUAUCCUGUGAUCUGCUACUCAUAAAACCGCCACACUGCGGAAGAUAGUUUGGAUUACGGUAAGAGAAUUUAGAUCUCGAUUUCACUAGUUUUCGAAAAUCGUAUUUCCUAAUCGUAUUUAUAGAGUUCUACCUCUUUUUUUCAAAUCGAGAUUUUGCGGUCCUACAUGAACAAGAGAUGCAAUGGCCCGAGACUUUUUUGUUUGGAAAUUUUUUCAUAUAAAAAAGUCUAAAUAUUUUUAAAAAUUGUUAAUAAUCCAAGUAUUAUAACUCAAAAAGCCCAAAUUCUGAAAUACUAAAUAUAUGAAAAGAUCCAAAUAUUUUUUAACUAUAUCAUUCUUUUAUAAUUAGAAACCACAAAUCUUUUUACAAUAAUAGGCCAACAAGUUUUUUUCCCUAAGACUUAUAUUUUCUUUGAGCCUGGGCUGCAUGUAUAAAAUUCAAAAAAAAUUAUUACUUAAAUAUAUUCUAACACAACGAUGUAUAAAUUUAAUACAAUACAAUUAUGAGAUAUGAAAAAGUCGAUAUUCCUAUAUCCUAAGAGAAAACAAUAGUCCAUUUGAAAGGUUCUUAUUAUAUUGACAUGAAACCACUAUAAUUAAUGUGAUUGUGAUACAUGUUAAUUAACCGAUUGAUUUUAUACAAGUAAAUAUUUAAAUUUUAUUAUUAAUUAAGAUGUUAUCCACAAGAGAAGAUUUUUUAGAAUAAAAAUAUCUAUCCGAUGAGAUUGACUCAAACAUGGGUGAAUAUAAAAAAUGUCAUUUGGAUUUAUUACGGUUCGGUUAAGAAAGCGAUCAUAGAGUUUUUAAGAAGAAUCAAACUACAUAUUGAUUAGUUGACUAAAGUUUUUUUUUGUUAGUUGACUAAAUUUUUACAUGUGUAAAAUAGUUCUCUAUCUUUUAAACUUAUAUGAUGGCUAGCAUGCACUCAUAUCAUGUGCGUCUACAAAAUGUUGGUUGAAGGAUCGAUUUGCAUCCCUAAUUUGCUAGCAUACCUGUUUGGUUUACUGGUGUUCUCUUAUUGUAAGUUUGUAACGGCUCUUGAUCAUGCAUAUUAAAAAAAAACAUUAUAGAGAAAAGUUAGGAGUACUUACAAGAAAUUAACAAAUUAGAUAGAGAGUUGAAACAAGUUAGAAAAAGAAAGGUUAACGAAACCACCAAAAAAAUAAUAAUCAGGUCAAAACACAUGAACGUCUGAUGCUCUAUAUGAGAUUCGACGCAUACGUGGAACCUGUUUGAUUAACUAGGUUAAUCCAUUUGAUGAUUGGAGUCGUUCUAUAUUGCUGAGAAUAUAUAAGAGAUAAUGUACAAGAGAGUUGUUAGGGGCUAUAUUAACGAAGCUUCCUAGUAUGCACAGAAGAAGAUGUGUGUAUUCCUCUUCUAGUAUCCUCCCCAACUCGAACCAUGGAGAUUGUGAACGUGAAUUUUGAACUUGAAUGCUUUGAAUAGACAAGUAGGGAGGCCUUUGGUGAAUAUUUCUUCAUAUUGAUGGGAGGAAGGAACAUGUAGGACACGAACCUGGCCGAGUGCUACUCAUUCAUAGACAGACAACAUAUCCAACUCAACAUGUUUUGUCAGAUGAUUUUGCAUCCGGUUUGUGGAGAGGUACUACACUUACAUUGUCACAAUACACGAUCGUUCAUGUCGAAAGAGGGUAAUGAAGUUCGAUAAGCACGUUUCAUAUCCAUAUAGUCUAAUAACUGCAUUGACAACCCCUUCGUACUCGGCUAUGUAAGAAAUAUUGUACAACAAAAGCCGCUAGGGGGGCUAUUAACUACGCUUCAUAAUAUACACAGAAGAAUAUAUAUGUAUUCCUAUUCUAGUAGAACCGCUUGUUACGCUCUUUCCAUAAUAAUGAUAGGAAUAUCAACUCAGCAGGACAUUUUGAGCAAUCGUGUGAUAUUUGAAUCCGUAUUUCAUCCGCACAAAACUGAUGUGUCCAAAGGAUACCGACUCAAAUGUUGAUUCGAGACAACUCUUGCACGGAAAGAAUCAUUACAGAGAAAAUGACAUAAAGAAACUGGUAACGAACUCGUGCCCACUUUAGAAAAACACCACACUAAACUCCAAGUCUGGACCAGAACUUGUGUUCUCAUGCAUAUAGCUCCCUUGUAACAUAUGUGGAACCAUGAGUUAUAACCAACAUGCUAAAGAACAAAAUCAUAUCAAUAUGAUAUAGAUAUGAGCAAUAUACGUUAUAAAUAUCUAACCAGGUUUGUUCGCUUUGUUGGUCUAAGAACACGUACACAUAUAAAUACUGCUUGCAAUUGUAUCCAUUGACGUUGUUUCUGGUAAUUUUCUCGUAUUUAUGGAUCUCCUAUUUGACAUUAGCUAAAGGACAUUUUCUUUUCAGCCAAUUCAAGUCAUCCACAUUUAAAUAUAUAUACACAAACAUGCAUGUAUCCAAAAGCACCGUAAGAACAUAACUCAUACAUGAAUAACAAAAGUUAUAACAACACAAAACCACACCCCUCCCUCUGUUUGUAUACCCAAUGAAAGCCACACCAAAAAAAGAAAUGUGAAACUAAAAAACAGAUAUAAAACUUGAAAUUAAACUAUUGAGUUCUCUGACCCCAUGAGAAACCCAAAUUAAUCCAAAUAUACCCUCCUAAUCCCAAUGAAAAGAAACACCAACCCAUGUGGUGGACCUUAGAAUUACACAGAUGGGAAAGAGAAAAGGAAAAAGAUCAAAGUCAGGACCAUAUUAUGUACAUACACAUAUCAUUUACCUCGAGUAAACUUAACAAGAGACCAUAGUAAACCUUGAACCAAUCUUGAACCCUUUUUGUUUUUUGUUGAACUACGCGAAGGAAGAUGAUUGAGAUGGUGAGAUGAAGAGGAUCCGAGGGAGCUUUAUAGUGCCAAGAUCAACAUUUCCCCUGAUUAGAUCUCUCUGAUCCAAGCUUCUUCUCUCAUCUCAUAACAAAAAGGAAAAAAAGAAAGAUAAACCCUACCUAGUUAUAGAUCAUAUAACCAAAGUUUUGGUUUAUAUCAAAGAGGUGAGGGAGGAUCCAACGUUAUUAUUUGUUGGAUCAAGCCAUGCUCCAUUGACAACACUUGCAUUAUUCCACAUGUUGUUGUAGUUUGAAGGAUCCAAAGAUGAUGAUGAUG
rnacentral:lncRNA from 1 species